GACGAACGCUGGCGGCGUGCCUAACACAUGCAAGUCGAACGAGCGAGAGAGAGCUUGCUUUCUCAAGCGAGUGGCGAACGGGUGAGUAACGCGUGAGGAACCUGCCUCAAAGAGGGGGACAACAGUUGGAAACGACUGCUAAUACCGCAUAAGCCCACAGCUCGGCAUCGAGCAGAGGGAAAAGGAGUGAUCCGCUUUGAGAUGGCCUCGCGUCCGAUUAGCUGGUUGGUGAGGUAACGGCCCACCAAGGCAACGAUCGGUAGCCGGACUGAGAGGUUGAACGGCCACAUUGGGACUGAGACACGGCCCAGACUCCUACGGGAGGCAGCAGUGGGGAAUAUUGCACAAUGGGGGAAACCCUGAUGCAGCGACGCCGCGUGGAGGAAGAAGGUCUUCGGAUUGUAAACUCCUGUUGUUGAGGAAGAUAAUGACGGUACUCAACAAGGAAGUGACGGCUAACUACGUGCCAGCAGCCGCGGUAAAACGUAGGUCACAAGCGUUGUCCGGAAUUACUGGGUGUAAAGGGAGCGCAGGCGGGAAAGCAAGUUGGAAGUGAAAUCCAUGGGCUCAACCCAUGAACUGCUUUCAAAACUGUUUUUCUUGAGUAGUGCAGAGGUAGGCGGAAUUCCCGGUGUAGCGGUGGAAUGCGUAGAUAUCGGGAGGAACACCAGUGGCGAAGGCGGCCUACUGGGCACCAACUGACGCUGAGGCUCGAAAGUGUGGGUAGCAAACAGG
rnacentral:rRNA from 1 species